UACGUAGGCAGCGAGCGUUGUUCGGAGUUACUGGGCGUAAAGGGUGUGUAGGCGGUCCUUUAAGUUUGGUGUGAAAUCUCCCGGCUCAACUGGGAGGGUGCGCCGGAUACUGAGGGGCUAGAGUGCGGGAGAGGAGAGUGGAAUUCCUGGUGUAGCGGUGAAAUGCGCAGAUAUCAGGAGGAACACCGAUGGCGAAGGCAGGUCUCUGGGCCACUACUGACGCUGAGAAGCGAAAGCGUGGGGAGCAAACAGG
rnacentral:rRNA from 1 species